rnacentral:rRNA from 1 species
GAUGAACGCUGGCGGCGUGCCUAAUACAUGCAAGUCGUACGAAGGAGCUUGCUCCUUAGUGGCGAACGGGUGAGUAAUACAUAAAUAAUCUGCCUCAAUGUCUGGGAUAACUAUUGGAAACGAUAGCUAAUACCGGAUAGCUAAUCGGAAGACAUCUUCUGAUUACUAAAGGAGCGUUCGCUCCGCUUUGAGAUGAGUUUAUGGUGCAUUAGUUAGUUGGCGGGGUAAUGGCCCACCAAGACGAUGAUGCGUAGCCGAUCUGAGAGGAUGACCGGCCACACUGGGACUGAGACACGGCCCAGACUCCUACGGGUGGCUG